rnacentral:rRNA from 2 species
GACGAACCGUGCGAACGUUAUUCGGAAUCACUGGGCUUAAAGGGUGCGUAGGCUGGUUGCCAAGUCUGUGGUGAAAUCCUCCGGCUUAACCGGAGAACUGCCGUGGAUACUGGCGACCUCGAGUGGGGUAGGGGCUUGCGGAACUGUGCGUGGAGCGGUGAAAUGCGUUGAUAUGCACAGGAACUCCGGUGGCGAAGGCGGCGAGCUGGACCCUAACUGACGCUGAGGCACGAAAGCCAGGGGAGCGAACGGG